AUACUUACCUGGCAGGGGAGCAAUAGCCAUGAUCCCUAAGGUGGCUCUCCCAGAGUGAGGCUGGUUCAUUGCACUCCGUACCAGUUGACCUCUGCGAUUUCCUCAAAUGUGGGAAACUCGACUGCAUAAUUUAUGGUAGUUGGGGUACUGCGUUCGCGCUUUCCCCGG